GAUGAACGCUGGCGGCGUGCCUAAUACAUGCAAGUCGAGCGAACAGACGAGGAGCUUGCUCCUCUGACGUUGCGGCGGACGGGAGAGUAACACGAGGAUAACCUACCUAUAAGACUGGGCUAACUUCGGGAAACCGGAGCUAAUACAGGAUAAUAUAUUGCACCGCAUGGUUCAAUAGUGAAAGACGGUUUUGCUGUCACAUAUAGAUGGAUCCGCGCCGCAUUAGCUAGUUGGUAAGGUAACGGCUUACCAAGGCAACGAUGCGUAGCCGAGGUGAGAGGGUGAUCGGCCACACUGGACCUGAGACGCGGUCCAGACCCCUACGGGAGGCAGCAGUGGGGAAUGUACCGCAAUGGGCGAAAGCCUGACGGAGCACCGCCGCGUGAAUGAUGAAGGGCCUCGGAUCGUAAAUCUCUGUUAUUAGGGAAGAGGAAAUGUGUAAGUAACUAUGCACGUCUUGACGGUACCUAAUGAGUAAGCAACGGCUAACUACGU
rnacentral:rRNA from 1 species